CGAAGCAUAGUUCACCGGGAAGAACACCAGACUUACCCCCUGGAAAAGCAGAGUUCGAGACCUGCUGCUUCGA
rnacentral:tRNA from 1 species